GUGCCCACAGCAGUGGGAGGGACGGGCCAGCCCCUGGGGGGCCAGUGCUGCUCUGGGAAGAGCUGUGGGGAGUUCUCACUGCCAGAGUUCUCUUCUGAUGGCAUCCUCCUCCUUGGUGAAGUAGGAAGCAAGGUGAUUAACUGAGAGAAAGAAGGGAGGAGGAGAGGCAGCGGAGGCCUUAGGAGGUGCCAGUGUGAAGUAGCUGUGAGAGCUGGGGAGGAGUGGACAGGGGUAGCACUGAGGGCCCGUUAGCCGACAGGGCUCAGGAGUACACGUGUGAACUCACCCCGCGUGGCCACUGCUGGCCCUUCCGUGAUCCAAAAGCAGCUUUCCGCACUUGAGCAUCUCUGACACAGGGCUGCUUCCCACAGUCAGUGAGGCACCCAAACGGGUGCAUGUUUGACAGUGGGUGGUCUCACCAAGGGCUGGGCCAUAUAUAUUUGUACACUCAUCUAGACCUCAUGACCCUGGAUGUAGGUCCUUUUAUUGUUGCUAUUUCACAUAGAGAUUAGAGAAUUGUAGGGACGAGGCUGGGUGACCAGAGACAGAGGGGGCAGAUAGCCAGGAGCCCUGGGCCUCUGUUGGGUCCCAGCUCAGCACAUUGAGGGAGAGAAAAGGGUGGGAAAGAUAAUGCCCCAGGAGCAAGGAGAAUUCCAUGGAGAAUUCCGGUGUGAACAGUAGGAGGGAAAAGGAAGAAUACACACACACGCAGUGUGUGUGUGCAUGUGUGUGCAUUGUAAUAUACGUGCUUUUAUAUAUUGCUGGUGCUUGCAUAAGCACUGUUGGAGGGGUACCUAGGAAGCUGAUGUUGUUUCCUCUGAGGAAGGAGAACUGGGCUUCUGGGAUCUGAGGUGAGGAAAAGGAGACCUCAGGACAAAGGGUGUAUGUAAGUCCCAAAGGCCUAAGAAUAGAGGUUAAUAACCCUAACCCACUAUUAGAGCAAGGGCCUCUCUGCAGGAAGAUGAAGGUGGCCCAGUCUGGUGAUCAGAGGGCGGGUUCUGGAGCCAGAUGCUCUAGUCCAGAUCCCAACUCAUCACCCAGCAGCUGGUCCAGUUCCUUGAUUCUCAGGACCCUCAUCCACAGCUGUGAGAGGGGCUGAACAAAGGCAGCACUUCCUGGAGCUAUCAGGAGAGCUGGUGGGACCCCUCCUGGCCAUGGGAAAGCGCAUGGUAAGCAUUAGCUAUUAUUAUCCUCAUCCACUGUGAGGGUGACACUGUUCUUGAGCAGUGGGGAUCCAGCACUCCAGUGCCAUCUGGUGUCUCGUGGCCCUGUCUGGC
rnacentral:lncRNA from 1 species